rnacentral:piRNA from 1 species
UCAGGGAGGUAGUGUCUGAUUUGCAU